rnacentral:lncRNA from 1 species
UGUCGCGGAGCUUGUCGGAGUUGCGGGCGACGAGGAUGAGGCUGAGGCCCGCAGCGACGAGCGGACGGUGAAGGUGCAGCCGAUUCAAAGAAGAUGAGGAAAAGGAAAAGGAAGAAGAAGGAGGAGAAAAGGAGGGGGAAAAGGAGGAUACGAAGAAGAAGAAGAAGAAGAAGAAGAGGAAGAAGAAGAAGAAGAAAAAGAAGAGGACGGGGAAGAAGAAGAAGAGGAAAAGGAAGAGGAAGAGGAAGAAGAAGAUGGGUAAAAUUGUCAAUUUAUCUUAUUAAUUAACCAUGGUUAAGUAUUUUAACCGUGGUUAACUAAAUUUCUUUAACGGAUCCUAACGGCAGGGACAUAUCUGAAUACAUUAGGACUUUUGUAGAGAUAAAUUAUGAAAGUUGAAUUUUGCAGAGAUAUCUGCAAUUCACCAUGUUUGCAGGGACCUAUAUGCAAUUAACCCUAAAAUCUAUGUCGAAAUCAAAGACAAAAAAGAUAUUCUUUAAACAACCAUAACCAUAAAUCUAAGGCUUAAUUAAAAAAAAAAUCCUGUAUUUUACCUCAUGUUUCAAUUAUUCCUCUACAUAAAAAAU